CAUGCAAGUCGAACGAUGAUGCCCAGCUUGCUGGGUGGAUUAGUGGCGAACGGGUGAGUAACACGUGAGUAACCUGCCCCUGACUCUGGGAUAAGCGUUGGAAACGACGUCUAAUACUGGAUAUGACUACUGGUCGCAUGGCCUGGUGGUGGAAAGAUUUUUUGGUUGGGGAUGGACUCGCGGCCUAUCAGCUUGUUGGUGAGGUAAUGGCUCACCAAGGCGACGACGGGUAGCCGGCCUGAGAGGGUGACCGGCCACACUGGGACUGAGACACGGCCCAGACUCCUACGGGAGGCAGCAGUGGGGAAUAUUGCACAAUGGGCGAAAGCCUGAUGCAGCAACGCCGCGUGAGGGAUGACGGCCUUCGGGUUGUAAACCUCUUUUAGUAGGGAAGAAGCGAAAGUGACGGUACCUGCAGAAAAAGCACCGGCUAACUACGUGCCAGCAGCCGCGGUAAUACGUAGGGUGCAAGCGUUGUCCGGAAUUAUUGGGCGUAAAGAGCUCGUAGGCGGUUUGUCGCGUCUGCUGUGAAAUCCCGAGGCUCAACCUCGGGCUUGCAGUGGGUACGGGCAGACUAGAGUGCGGUAGGGGAGAUUGGAAUUCCUGGUGUAGCGGUGGAAUGCGCAGAUAUCAGGAGGAACACCGAUGGCGAAGGCAGAUCUCUGGGCCGUAACUGACGCUGAGGAGCGAAAGCGUGGGGAGCGAACAGGAUUAGAUACCCUGGUAGUCCACGCCGUAAACGUUGGGCGCUAGAUGUAG
rnacentral:rRNA from 1 species